ACAAAAGUCACUGGUGGGUCUUGGCCAGAUGGUUUUCGAGGGGUGUUUACUGCUUCCAACACUAGAGCUGAUGACCUGAAAGUCAUGUUGCUUGAUUUUGGAGAUGGUGGAUUGCCUGUCGGUGCUGAUGGCAUGAUCAAGCUCUCACGCAGUGUGCUUUCUGUUGGCCUUUGGGAGAUGCUCAAAGUUUCUGCCAUGGCAUAUCCUAUUAAUGACGACGAAGUUGCUGACAGUGCUGAGGUAGCCUUAAAACCUGAGAUGGCCGGUAUAAGUCCUGUUGUGCUGAAGGUUGGCUCAUGUAGUAUGAAAGUGAGUGUUGCCUGGUCCCUAUUCCGUCGU
rnacentral:rRNA from 1 species